rnacentral:rRNA from 1 species
CCUACGGGCGACAGCAGUGAGGAAUAUUGCACAAUGGUGGGGACACUGAUGCAGCAAAGCCGCGUGAGGGAAGAAGGAUUUCGGUAUGGAAAACCCUAUCAGCCAGGGAACAAAUGACGGUACCUGAUUACGAAGCCCCGGCUAACUACGUACCAGCAGCCGCGGGAAUACGUAGGGGGCAAGCGUUAUCCGGAUUUACUGGGUGUAAAGGGGGCGCAGAGGGCAGUGCAAGUCUGGAGGGAAAGCCCGGGGCCCCACCCCGGAACUGCCCUGGAAACUGGGCGUCUAGAGUACUGGAGGGGCAGGCGGAAUUCCUAGUGUAGCGGUGAAAUGCGUAGAUAUUAGGAGGAACACCAGUUGCGAAGGCGGCCUGCUGGACAGUCACUGACGUUGAGGCUCGAAAGCGUGGGGAGCAAACAGGAUUAGAUACCCUAGUAGUC